UACGAGGGGGGCGAGCGUUGUUCGGAAUUAUUGGGCGUAAAGGGUGCGUAGGCGGUUUGGUAAGUCUUAUGUGAAAUCUACAGGCUCAACUUGUAGUCUGCAUGAGAAACUGCCGGGCUUGAGUAUGGGAGAGGUGAGUGGAAUUCCUGGUGUAGCGGUGAAAUGCGUAGAUAUCAGGAGGAACACCGGUGGUGUAGACGGCUCACUGGACCAUAACUGACGCUGAGACACGAAAGCGUGGGGAGCAAACAGG
rnacentral:rRNA from 1 species